CAGCAGCCGCGGGAAUACGUAGGGUGCGAGCGUUAAUCGGAAUUACUGGGCGUAAAGCGUGUGUAGGCGGUUUGUUAAGUCUGCUGUGAAAUCCCCGGGCUCAACCUGGGAAUGGCAGUGGAUACUGGCAAGCUAGAGUGUGUCAGAGGAUGGUGGAAUUCCCGGUGUAGCGGUGAAAUGCGUAGAGAUCGGGAGGAACAUCAGUGGCGAAGGCGGCCAUCUGGGACAACACUGACGCUGAGGCACGAAAGCGUGGGGAGCAAACAGGAUUAGAUACCCGAGUAGUCCCUGUCUCUUAUAC
rnacentral:rRNA from 1 species